rnacentral:lncRNA from 1 species
UCAUUAUAUACCAUCGGUUCUUUUAUAGUGGGUUAUCUGCACUAGUGAAUUUUUUGUUUUGCAUCAUCUUUCAAUUAGCCCUAUUAAGAAUUCAUGUACUUUUUUUCAUUUUAUUUUCCUUUCUUUUCAGUGUUCCAGAAUUCAUUGUUUAUGCACCACACCAAGUGCUCCAUGCAAUACGUGCCUUCCAUAAAGAAUUCAUGUACAUUUUAUUUUGAAGAAGAGGUUAUGGUACAUUUAUUCCCAAGCACUAACAGAAUUGAAACGGAAGAAGUUGGAAUUAUUCGUCUUUGGUGGCCCUCUCAUGCUCCUCCUAACCACCCACCUCACCAUGCUUUGGGUCUCCAGAAUGUGUUCUUCGAGGACAGUGACUCCCACAAGCAAAGCAGCAUCUGGCCGUGUGGGUGAUCUAUUCUCCAGCCUCUCAAAGUUGUGUAGGUAAGUCAGGCUAAAGUUACUGCCUCUCUCUUCCGGGAGUUCUUGUUUAUUCCUCCAGGAGGU